rnacentral:rRNA from 1 species
AUUGAACGCUGGCGGCAUGCCUAACACAUGCAAGUCGAGCGAGCGGCGGACGGGUGAGUAAUGUAUGGGGACUGCCCGAUAGAGGGGGAUAACUACUUGAAACGGUAGCUAAUACCGCAUACUAUCGGAUAACCCAUAUGGGAUUAGCUAGUUGGUGGGGUAAAGGCUCACAAAGGCAACGAUCCGUAGCUGGUGUGAGAGGCCGACCAGCCAACCGGGGACUGAGACACGGCCCAGACGCCUACGGAGGGAGCAGUGGGGAAUUUUGGACAAGGGGGGAAACCCUGAUCCAGCCAUCCCGCGUGUAUGAUGAAGGCCUUCGGGUUGUAAAGUACUUUUGGCAGAGAAGCGGUAUCUGCAGAAUAAGCACCGGCUAACUACGUGCCAGCGGCCGCGGUAAUC